rnacentral:rRNA from 1 species
GACGAACGCUGGCGGCGUGCCUAAUACAUGCAAGUAGAACGCAGUUGCGAAUGGGUGAGUAACGCGCAGGUAACUGCCUGGUAGCGGGGGAUAACUAUUGGAAACGCUAGCUAAUACCGCAUACUACCAGAUGGACCUGCGCUGUAUUAGCUAGUUGGUGAGGUAACGGCUCAACAAGGCAACGAUACAUAGCCGACCUGAGAGGGUGAUCGGCCAAACUGGGACUGGGACACGGCCCAGACGCCUACGGGAGGGAGCAGUAAGGAAUCUUCGGCAAUGGGGGGAACCCUGACCGAGCAACGCCGCGAGAGUGAAGAAGGUUUUCGGAACGUAAAGCGCUGUUGUUAAGGAAGCGGUACUUAACCAGAAAGGGACGGCUAACUACGUGCCAGCAGCCGCGGUAAUUC